GACGAACCGUGCGAACGUUAUUCGGAAUCACUGGGCUUAAAGCGCGUGCAGGCGGUCCGGCACGUCCGAGGCUGAAAUCCCCCGGCUCAACCGGGGAAGCGGCGCGGAUACGACCGGGCUGGAGGGGGGUAGGGGGAUCGGGAACUUCCGGUGGAGCGGUGAAAUGCGUUGAGAUCGGAAGGAACGCCCGUGGCGAAAGCGCGGUCCUGGACCCUCCCUGACGCUGAGACGCGAAAGCCAGGGGAGCGAACGGG
rnacentral:rRNA from 1 species